rnacentral:rRNA from 1 species
CGAACGCUGGCGGCGUGCUUAACACAUGCAAGUCGAACGAUGAAGCGGGUGCUUGCGCUCGUGGAUUAGUGGCGAACGGGCGAGUAACACGUGAGUAACCUGUCCUUUUCUUUGGGAUAACGGCUGGAAACGGCUGCUAAUACUGGAUAUUCAGGCUGCAUCGCAUGGUGUGGUUUGGAAAGGUUUUUUCUGGGAUUGGGUGGGCUCGCGGCCUAUCAGCUUGUUGGUGGGGUGAUGGCUUACCAAGGCUUUGACGGGUAGCCGGCCUGAGAGGGUGGUCGGUCGCACUGGGACUGAGAUACGGCCCAGACUCCUACGGGAGGCAGCAGUGGGGAAUAUUGCACAAUGGACGAAAGUUUGAUGCAGCGACGCCGCGUGGAGGGUGUAGGCCUUCGGGUUGUGAACUCCUUUUUCUCGCGAAAAAGGCACAGUUUUGGCUGUGUUGAUGGUAGUGGGGGAAGAAGCGCCGGCUAACUACGUG